GGGGUUGACUGGUUUCGACAGCAAGACCAAUGGGUAAGUAAGCAUGCAGAGAACCGUAGCGCGAUCUCUAUAAUCCCUUGCUACAGAAUUUUAACUGGCAACGAAGAGUUCGCUCUUGCAGCUUAAUAAUCGAAGUAUAGUAGAUUCAAGCGUUUUCCCGAAGAUUUCAGUAAGGAAGCAAGAUAUUCCACAAAUGCUCUGUUCUGCGGCGUUUGAUCCUGGGAUAUAGGAAUGCGGAAAUAAGGUUGUAGAAGCUUCGGCUACAACACGAAAAUUUUAGAAGAUAAGCUGAAAGUUGGGUGUCUACUCUCUGCUUUCCGUCGAAAACCAAUAGUAGAAUAAGCAUGUAGAAAGCUUAUGUAUUGCUUGUUUGGACGAGGGUUCGAAUCCCUCCAACUCCACAG
rnacentral:tmRNA from 1 species